rnacentral:rRNA from 1 species
GAUCAUGGCUCAGGACGAACGCUGGCGGCGCGCCUAACACAUGCAAGUCGAACGAGAGAGAGGGAGCUUGCUUCCUCGAUCGAGUGGCGAACGGGUGAGUAACGCGUGAGGAACCUGCCUCAAAGAGGGGGACAACAGUUGGAAACGAUUGCUAAUACCGCAUAAGCCCACGACCCGGCAUCGGGAAGAGGGAAAAGGAGCAAUCCGCUUUGAGAUGGCCUCGCGUCCGAUUAGCUAGUUGG